rnacentral:rRNA from 1 species
UCCCCUUAGUAGGGCAUAGCCCGGUGAAAAUCGGGAUUAAUACCCUAGUGUUCUUCACAGUGGGCAUCUAACGUGAAGCAAAGGUUCACCGCUAAGGGAUGGGGAUGCGUCUGAUUAGGUAGUCGGCGGGGUAACGGCCCACCGAGCCAUCGAUCAGUAGGGGUUCUGAGAGGAAGGUCCCCCCACAUUGGAACUGAGACACGGUCCAAACUCCUACGGGAGGCAGCAGUGAGGAAUAUUGGUCAAUGGUCGAGAGACUGAACCAGCCAAGUAGCGUGCCAGGAUGACGGCCCUAGUGGGUUAGUAAACUGCUUUUAUGGCGGGGAUAAAGUCACCCACGUGUGGGUGUUUGCAGGUACCGCAUGAAUAAGGACCGGCUAAUUCCGUGCCAGCCGCAGC